GACGAACGCUGGCGGCGUGCCUAAUACAUGCAAGUAGAACGCACAGGAUGCACCGUAGUCUACUACACCGUAUUCUGUGAGUUGCGAACGGGUGAGUAACGCGUAGGUAACCUGCCUGGUAGCGGGGGAUAACUAUUGGAAACGAUAGCUAAUACCGCAUAAGAACAUUUACUGCAUGGUAGAUGUUUAAAAGGUGCAAAUGCAUCACUACCAGAUGGACCUGCGUUGUAUUAGCUAGUAGGUGAGGUAACGGCUCACCUUGGCGACGAUACAUAGCCGACCUGAGAGGGUGAUCGGCCACACUGGGACUGAGACACGGCCCAGACUCCUACGGGAGGCAGCAGUAGGGAAUCUUCGGCAAUGGGGGGAACCCUGACCGAGCAACGCCGCGUGAGUGAAGAAGGUUUUCGGAUCGUAAAGCUCUGUUGUUAAGGAAGAACGAGUGUGAGAAUGGAAAGUUCAUACUGUGACGGUACUUACACAGAAAGGCGG
rnacentral:rRNA from 1 species